GUCCCUGACAAGUUGUUAUGGGAGACAAUGAUGGGUUCCGAUUGUAUCUUUUGUAAAUGAUUGAUCUUUUUUGCAAUAUCAACCGUUGGAUAGCGCACUGGCCAUUUUGAGAGCCAUGCAGUUGAAGAGAGGAGAAUAUAUUGAGGUGCUUGGAGAGUAAUACACCUACUUUGAGAGCAACGUGAGGUGCAAUCCAAUGAUUGAUGCUGUGAAACAAGAUCAAUCAUCCUUUCACAUAAAAGAUAU
rnacentral:lncRNA from 1 species